GACGAACGCUGGCGGCGUGCUUAACACAUGCAAGUCGAACGGAAAGGCCCUGCUUUUGUGGGGUGCUCGAGUGGCGAACGGGUGAGUAACACGUGAGUAACCUGCCCUUGACUUUGGGAUAACUUCAGGAAACUGGGGCUAAUACCGGAUAGGAGCUCCUGCUGCAUGGUGGGGGUUGGAAAGUUUCGGCGGUUGGGGAUGGACUCGCGGCUUAUCAGCUUGUUGGUGGGGUAGUGGCUUACCAAGGCUUUGACGGGUAGCCGGCCUGAGAGGGUGACCGGCCACAGUGGGACUGAGAUACGGCCCAGGCUCCUACGGGAGGCAGCGGGGGGAAUAUUGCACAAUGGGCGGAAGCCUGAUGCAGCAACGCCGCGUGCGGGAUGACGGCCUUCGGGUUGUAAACCGCUUUCGCCUGUGACGAAGCGUGAGUGACGGUAAUGGGUAAAGAAGCACCGGCUAACUACGUG
rnacentral:rRNA from 1 species